rnacentral:tRNA from 1 species
CAAAAUAUAGUUUAAAAAAUAUUAAUUUUGGAGAUUAAAGUUAUUAAGAAAUUUAUUUAUUUUGA